rnacentral:rRNA from 1 species
AACUUUUGACAAUGGAUCUCUUGGUUCUCGCAACGAUGAAGAACGCAGCAAAAUACGAUAAGUAGUGUGAAUUGCAGAAUACGUGAAUCAUCGAAUCUUUGAACGCAUAUUGCACAUAUAUAGCUUAUUCAUUUUUA